UGUGCUAAUUUAAUAAUAAAGAUUUUAAAAAGGUUGGUAGGAUGGGUGUGGAAAUGAAUGAAUAUAAGUUCUGAAAUUUUAGCAGCAAAGUAAGUUUUCAAUGGUAUAGAUUUCAUACAAGAGAAUUUAGAACAUAAAUCGGUGAGCAAAUCCAGAAGAAGGAGGAACCUAUUACCUAUCGGGAAGAAGAGGAUUAGAACGCUUUGUUGGUGGAUCUUCAAGCGAUGACAAAGAUGAAGGUUGCUGCGCAGAAAAAUCAGCAAGUUGAUUUGUUGAAUCUGGAUCGUUGUGCGUUGGGGAUGAAUGCCAAUGAGAUGAUAGAUGGCUGGAUGAUGACCCGAGGAGGAGGGUCUGCCGCUGAUGCAUGAGCUGAUGUUAGAUCUAAAGAUGGAAAGCUCAGAUCUAAAGGAAGAAAGGAUUAUGUGCG
rnacentral:lncRNA from 1 species